CCUGCCAGGAGCCUGGAGCACAACCUGCAGCUCCCAGCGGCGCUGCUGUCCAGGUUUGACCUGCUCUGGCUGCUGCAGGAUCGGCCUCAACGGGACAGGGACCUCAGACUGGCCCAGCACGUGACGUACGUGCACCAGCACUGCCGGCAGCCCCCCAGCGCAGCACAACCCCUCGACAUGAAGCUCAUGAGACGUUACCUGGCCAUGUGCAAGCGUCGGGAGCCGCGGGUGCCCGAGGCCUUGGGCGACUUCAUCACGGCCGCCUACGUGGAGAUGAGGAGGGAGGCCCUGAGCACCAGGGACGGCCUCUACACCUCUGCCAGGACCCUGCUGGCCAUCCUGCGCCUGGCCACCGCCCUGGUGAGUGCUCCAGUAUCCACCAGUAUGCACCAGUGACUCCCAGUAUGCACCAGUGACCCCCCAGUGACU